rnacentral:rRNA from 1 species
GAUCAUGGCUCAGGAUGAACGCUAGCGGCAGGCUUAACACAUGCAAGUCGAGGGGCAUCACGUCUUCGGAUGGUGGCGACCGGCGCACGGGUGCGUAACACGUAUACAACUUGCCCGUCAUAGGGGAAUAACCCGGAGAAAUUCGGACUAAUACCCCGUAAGUAUAGAGGGGGCAUCCUCUUUAUAUUAUAGAUUUAUUGAUGACGGAUAGGUAUGCGCAGCAUUAGGUAGUUGGUGAGGUAACGGCUCACCAAGCCGACGAUGCUUAGGGGAACUGAGAGGUUUAUCCCCCACACUGGUACUGAGACACGGACCAGACUCCUACGGGAGGCAGCAGUGAGGAAUAUUGGUCAAUGGACGAAAGUCUGAACCAGCCAUGCCGCGUGCAGGAUGACGGCU